UCUUCUGUGGUGCAACGGUUAGCACAACGGUCCCCGAAUCCGUAGACCCGGGUUCGAUUCCCGGCGAAGAA